GGCCCUCAGCGACUUUAAGGCCGCGCACCUCACUGCCGCCUCCGAAACACUCCGUGUCUACACGUGCACCCAGCCUCGGCGUGUGCAGCAUUUGGCACUGGCAACCUUGAAGCUGAACAACUUUAUUUUUAAAAAAGGCAAACCAAAGCUGUGAACCAUUCCCUUGGGCAAUAUCUUGGUUUGAUUUGACACACAAUGAGGAACAGGGACUGGGACCGGGGUCUGUGAGGCGUGGUUGGCGCACAGAAGGGGUGUUCCUGUCCCAAGGUGCCACCACCACGGCGCACGGAAGGCAGAGGCAGGACUGGGGCCAUGGCUCAAAGGGUUGGGGGGGGCAAGGAAAGGUCCCUGCCACCCUGCAGCCCAGCUUCCAGCACCACAAC